AAGCUGUUGCUUUCAUUGUGUUCCUCAUUUACUGUACAUUGUUUUGGUUUUUGGUUAUUGGUGCAAUUGGAAUAUCUCCGCUACAUACGGAUGUCUCUGUCGUGCACAUUACCUUUCAACUGUUCUUGAUCGGGAUGUCUCUGUCGUGCACAUUACCUUUCAACUGUUCUUGAUCGGGAUGUCUCUGUCGUGCACAUUACCUUUCAACUGUUCUUGAUCGGGAUGUCUCUGUCGUGCACAUUACCUUUCAACUGUUCUUGAUCGGGAUGUCUCUGUCGUGCACAUUACCUUUCAACUGUUCUUGAUUUGGAUUUCUAUGUUUUUUUCUUUACCUUUAAACUCUUCCUCAUUGGGAUUUCACUGUGAUGUAGCUUUCAAUUGUUUCUUGAUGUCUGUAAUACAUAGUACCGUAAAACUGUUCUUGGUCUGCAUGUCUUUGUAAUGUACUGCACCUUUAAACUAUACUUAUCCGGAUGAACAUUUGAACAGAUUCUUCAGUAGAUUUACCUGUGAAUGCUCCACCCUCUGUCUCAGCACACAACCCCUUUAUCUUCUUCUCUCUUUCUCUCAGCUCCUCUCGGUAUCAGGAUGAAGGUGAUUGAGGAUGACUUAGGGAGUCGGUUCAGGUUUGCUGAGUCAUGUGUGGGAUUGACAGGGUGUCUCUGCGUGGCCUACUCUGUGUGGAGCUCUCGCUGGCUCUGGGACACGGGACUAUGGACUUUAGGGAAUAACAUCACCAGCACAGACCAUGACAUUGACCAGAGUGACAUUAUCUUCAACGCUCUAGAGGCAGAGCAAGUAUUUGCUGUGCUGUCCUUCCUCAUGGCUCUGAGUUCAGGAGCUCUGUGUCUUAUGUUCGCCCUCUGCUGGACAUCUCAGACCGUGCGCUCCUUCUCCAACAAUCGCUCUUUGCUCAUGGCAGGCCAGGCACUCAACCCGACUGUCCUGCUGCUCCUCACUCUUGGACCCACAGGUUUCUUCUUCCUCCUCAGCUGGUCCAUCUUCACCUACCAGCAUUGGAUGGAAAUCAGUAGUGACAUCACCAGCCUGGGUUCCUCCUAUUGGCUUGGCGCCCUGGGCUGGGCCCUGCUAUUGGUUGUUUUCCCAGUGGUGUUCCUGGUGGAGCAGUGUGUGGUCCCUGACAUCAUGCCGAACCUCAUGAAUGCUGCCGAUGGCUGGCUCCGCACCUCCCCGGUUCCAUAUGCCAAGCGCCCAUUCAGCCAGAUUCAUCAGCAUUGUGACAUGGAAAGGGGGCUGAAGAGGUGCAUGUCUGUAACAUGAGACAAGGAAUGGAUAAAACAGGGAUGAAGUGAAACCUUCGGGUUUCAAGUCUGAGCAGAAUGCAGGACUGAACUGGACAGGUCAGGACUUAUGGAAGUCUGUGUUUACUCUAGCAGUUUACAUAAGGAAGUCAGAAUCUGCACCCUACCAGCUUUGAGGCAUUAGUGAUUAUAUGAAUAUGAUUAUAUUAAUUUCACCUGGGAGUGAGCAAUUUCUCUAUCAGAGUCUUCUCCAGUGGUCACAAACUGUCCUCAUCUGGAAAGCAUGGUGAGCAAGGACUUUUAAUCUAAACGUAAAUUCUCCACCAGCUUGUGUUAUUCCUCACUACAAGCAGAAACUAGAUGUUGUUAUGCCUCACCACUGUGCUAGUUGUUAUGUCACACCUCUAUACAAGGUGUUGUAAUGCCUCACUACUGUACCUGCUGUUGUUAUGCCUCACCACUGUGCUAGCUGUUAUGUCACACCUCUAUACAAGGUGUUGUAAUGCCUCACUACUGUACCUGCUGUUGUUAUGCCUCACCACAAUAAAAGUGUGACUUUUAUUUUAAUUUAUGAAAUAAAUUAGUGCUGAUAAUGUGUAACCGCAUAAAAUACUCUGCUCUGUUUAACCAGUAUAUCUGCUUAAUGCCAGGUGUCUUCCUGGCACCACAAAUGUGUCCCGAGCCAGCCCUGUCAGUGCCAAGCCACUGAAUAGACAUCCCACAGCACAGGCUCAUUAUUACAUCUCCCUUAUAGCAAUAGCACCAUCACAUCCAGUACUGCUGACUCAUGGCUGCCAUCUCCUCUGCACUGCCAAGCCACUGAAUAUCAGUCCGUAUUGUCUCGCCUCCCUUCUUUCUGUCUCCAUUAGUGUCUUACUUGCCCAAGUGGAUCAGUGGAGAGGAAGGGGUGGGCUGUCGUCCUGCCCCAUGUUUACAUCCUGCUGAUCCUUGUUAAAUAAGGGGAGAAGGAACAGUCUGGCUCUACUAAUUGGCUGCUAAUCAGACGGUGCUCUGAUUAAAAUGCAGCGUCUGCUAGUGACUGUUAUUAAAUCCGCAGAGGAUUUGUAGUAUUAUUUAAUUUUUAUAACCAAAGGAUGCAGUAGAUAGGCUGGAAUGUCAUUGAUCUGUGGCAAGACAACGUGAUCCAUUCAUUGGAUUAACACCACUCACAAACACAUUGUGUUGCAGGGUGUCGAGUGUUGUGUUGUUGUGAUGUUGUGAAGUGCUGUCUUGUCUUGUUGGUAGAGUUAUGCAGCCCCCCUGACAGAGUCUCAGCCCUCAAUACAGAGUCUCAGUCCCCCUCACAGAGUCUCAGCCCUCAUCACAGAGUCUCAGCCCUCAAUACAGAGUCUCAGUCCCCCUCACAGAGUCUCAGCCCUCAUCACAGAGUCUCAGUCCCCCUCACAGAGUCUCAGCCCUCAUCACAGAGUCUCAGUCCCCCUCACAGAGUCUCAGCCCUCAUCACAGAGUCUCAGCCCUCAAUACAGAGUCUCAGUCCCCCUCACAGAGUCUCAGCCCUCAUCACAGAGUCUCAGCCCUCAUCACAGAGUCUCAGCCCUCAUCACAGAGUCUCAGUCCCCCUGACAGAGUCAAACUUCCCCAGCAGAGUCUCAGUCCCCCUCACAGAGUCUCAGCCCUCAAUACAGAGUCUCAGUCCCCCUCACAGAGUCUCAGCCCUCAUGACAGAGUCAAACUUCCCCAGCAGAGUCUCAGUCCCCCUCACAGAGUCUCAGCCCUCAAUACAGAGUCUCAGUCCCCCUCACAGAGUCUCAGCCCUCAUGACAGAGUCAACCUUCCCCAACAGAGUCUCAGUCCCCCCAACAGAGUCUCAGCCCCCCCAAACAGUCUCAGACCCCCCUGAGAAGUUUCUGAAAUGGACUUUUAGUCUUUGUCAGACACGGCGCGCAUGGGUAGACCAUUUGUCGGUCGAUGAGACACACAUCCUUACAGCCGACGGCUUGCGUUGACUGUCCGUUCGAUAUCUGUUCAAUACCACCACGCGCUCAACCACUAUCAGCCGCCCCUGAUCAAAACAUCCCACGGCCAUGGUUGUGUGGGGUCAUGUAUAAUGUGUGCAGUGUUCUAGUUGCACUGAUGUGAAUGUUUCUCUGGUGAUUUACUGCUCAGCUUUUUAAGGGUCCUCCAUGCAUCAGGUUUCUGUUUUGUGCCAGUGUUUAUAUAAUACAUCCCUGCCUCCUCAUUUAAGUAGCGCAGUCCCCUUCAUCAAACACAGAUGCCGCUGUCUGUCUGGCUCUUUGAGACCUGUAGACAUUAUCACUCAACCCUUCUGCUGCUUAUAUCACCCUUCUCUCAACCCAAUCUGAGAGGCAGAGACUGAAAGAGAGGGAGACAGUUUGAUGGAGCGGGAGAGAUGGACAAAGAAGAGAGCGAUAGUGUAAUUUAUAAAUUGGUUUAGGAAGAAAGUGUGGUAGAGUGUGGUUUCAGUGUCGUUUGCCAGCUUGGCCUUUUGGUGGUGCUAGCGUAACAUGUUGCACAGGCUCCUAAAACAUUCUAUUUUGACUGGCAUUUGAUGAGUAAUGAAAUGACAGAAGGUAGAGUCAUGCAGUGUGUGUAAGUAUAUGUGUGUGUGAUUGAGUGUGUGCAUGUUUGUGUACGUCUUCAUUUUUUUUUUACAAACAAAGCCUGACAAACUCUAAUGAAGUAUCCAGGCACCAAACUUAAUAAGUCAGCUUUUAUUUUGGCAUAUUAGAGGAUGAUGAAU
ensembl:lncRNA